rnacentral:rRNA from 1 species
UACAGAGGUCUCAAGCGUUGUUCGGAUUCAUUGGGCGUAAAGGGUGCGUAGGCGGCGCGGUAAGUCGGGUGUGAAAUCUCGGAGCUCAACUCCGAAAUUGCACCGGAUACUGCGUGACUCGAGGACUGUAGAGGAGAUCGGAAUUCACGGUGUAGCAGUGAAAUGCGUAGAUAUCGUGAGGAAGACCAGUUGCGAAGGCGGAUCUCUGGGCAGUUCCUGACACUGAGGCACGAAGGCCAGGGAGCAAACGGG